AGUUGGCAAGGAUGAUUAGUAUACAGCUUUAAAUGCCAGUUCUGCUUCAGAAAAUUCUUGAUUGAUAGAGCUGUUUCAUACGCUGAGCCUGCA